rnacentral:rRNA from 1 species
GACGAACGCUGGCGGCGUGCUUAACACAUGCAAGUCGAGCGGAAAGGCCCUUCGGGGUACUCGAGCGGCGAACGGGUGAGUAACACGUGAGUAACCUGCCCCAGACUUUGGGAUAACCCUCGGAAACGGGGGCUAAUACCGGAUACGACACAGCUUCGCAUGGGGUCUGUGUGGAAAGUUUUUCGGUUUGGGAUGGGCUCGCGGCCUAUCAGCUUGUUGGUGGGGUGAUGUCCUACCAAGGCGACGACGGGUAGCCGGCCUGAGAGGGCGACCGGCCACACUGGGACUGAGACACGGCCCAGACUCCUACGGGAGGCAGCAGUGGGGAAUAUUGCACAAUGGGCGGAAGCCUGAUGCAGCGACGCCGCGUGAGGGAUGACGGCCUUCGGGUUGUAAACCUCUUUCAGCAGGGACGAAGCGUAAGUGACGGUACCUGCAGAAGAAGCGCCGGCCAACUACGUG